rnacentral:misc_RNA from 1 species
GACUGGCAAAGCCUGCAUAUGCUUUUAUAGUAUUAGAGCAAAUGGCUUCAAAUAUAUAGGUAGCCCUUAGCCAUGGAAAUUGAAAAAAAAAUUUCACAAGAACCACUUAACUUGGCAAUUCACAUCUAAAUACAUAAUUGUAAAUGCAUCUAAACGAAAAGGAGCUGAUAAUAUCUACUCCACUUGCACUGGCAGAAUGAAAAUUUUGAAAUUUAGGUUUGAAUGUUGAUGAUGAAAAGGAUGAAACAUAUAAUGUU